GGUUGAGGUUUGAAGUGCUUUAGUUGUUCUUAAUUGUUUCCUUUUUAGGUAGGUCUUUAGAAUUCUCAUAUAUAGCAUCCAGCUGUCUUUUGGAGAAAUCUUAGAGCAAUUGAGGAAUUCCUUACUGACCUUUCUCUACUCAUGAAGAUGAACUGGAAGGAAGCACAAAGUUGUAACUUAUGAAAUUGUUUAUUUCUUCAGUAAAGAGGA
rnacentral:misc_RNA from 1 species